GAAGUGCAGUAGUGUUUAAAGAAAGAUUUAACAGUCGGGGGUGGCUGACGUUUUUAUGUAUAUCUCAGAACUGGACCACCUAGAAAUUUUUUUUUCUUAAAAUUACAGCUGAGAAUCCGGGCCACCUAAGGGGCUAACCGGGCGCCAGGUGGCAUGCAAGGAAUCCAGGUGAAACCCGGCUAACCAGCAGGUUGCCUUGGAUAGUGGGGGAGAAAAUGACAGCUAAUCUCUAAAGCCAAUGUUCCCUUCUGGAGUCUUGCCCAGGUCCGAAAACACUCCAAAACACAGAGUGAACUGGAACUGUCCUCAUCGCUUGUGAAGAAUCACCAAGAUGUCCAAAGAGAGGAGAAAUGGAAGACAAGCAGCAUCCCAUACAGAGGGAACUAGCAGGCAUGAAGAGAAAGGGGGAGACACAGAUUUGGAAGGAAAAUAUUGAAAUGCCAUCAUUAGCAGAAGACCUUUGCCUAAUUUACUUACGCAGCUCCUGGGAUUGAACCAAGGUGGAGAAGGGAAAGUUUGUACGCACUGCCACAUUAAAACAAGCAUGCUAAGGAGAAGGCUAAACUAGAAUAGCAUUUGCUAUUUUUCUGUGCACAGGGAGAUUCUGAUGUGGUCAAAUAUUCAGAUAUACCACAUCACAUCAGAAAUGGUACAGCCACAGGAACCGGCAUACCAUGUGAUGUAUCUGAACACAUAAACCAGUCCUUAGCAUCUUAUACAGCACUUUAUAAAAGCAAAGAGUUGGGCGAGGAAUAUACAUAGCUGGGAGCAGAAGGUACCAGGACCUCCUGUGCAAAGGAACGCGAAUGGCGUAAGUGUGCAACAAAUAUUUUUGUUUCAAUAGGUGCCGCAGUGUUUAAAUUUUAAAUUGCACCCUGUUAAAGAAGAAUCCUAAAAAAUAAAUAAAUGUAGUAUUAAUUACCCUUGAUUUCUAACGGGCCAUCAAUAUGUCGUUCUGUUUUCUCUCUCUUCUUGUUGCUGUUUUCACAUUCUUGGGAAAAAGCCAUCCUUUUGUAAAUGCCCCUCUUCACUUCAUCAAAGACUGAAAACAUGUUGUAUACACGAGCUGUGUAGCCAGCUAACUCUGUGACCUGCAAUAUGAUAAAUGAUU